rnacentral:rRNA from 1 species
GCUGAAGUCUGGUGCUUGCACUAGACGGAUGAGUUGCGAACGGGUGAGUAACGCGUAGGUAACCUGCCUCAUAGCGGGGGAUAACUAUUGGAAACGAUAGCUAAUACCGCAUAACAGUAUUUACCGCAUGGUAGAUACUUGAAAGGAGCAAUUGCUUCACUAUGAGAUGGACCUGCGUUGUAUUAGCUAGUUGGUGAGGUAACGGCUCACCAAGGCUUCGAUACAUAGCCGACCUGAGAGGGUGAUCGGCCACACUGGGACUGAGACACGGCCCAGACUCCUACGGGAGGCAGCAGUAGGGAAUCUUCGGCAAUGGGGGCAACCCUGACCGAGCAACGCCGCGUGAGUGAAGAAGGUUUUCGGAUCGUAAAGCUCUGUUGUAAGAGAAGAACUGUGAGAAGAGUGGAAAGUUUCUCAUUUGACGGUAUCUUACCAGAAAGGGACGGCUAACUACGUGCCAGCAGCCGCGGUAAUACGUAGGUCCCGAGCGUUGUCCGGAUUUAUUGGGCGUAAAGCGAGCGCAGGCGGUUUGAUAAGUCUGAAGUAAAAGGCUGUGGCUUAACCAUAGUACGCUUUGGAAACUGUCAAACUUGAGUGCAGAAGGGGAAGAGUGGGAAUUCCAUGUGUAGCGGUGAAAUGCGUAGAUAUAUGG